UUAUAUAAGUGGGUGCCUGACUGGAAAAGCAGGUUGGACUAUAGAAGGAUGCCGAGCCACUUGAUAAAAUGGCCCAACACAGCUACAACAAUACUGCAAAACAAUUGAAUGUCAAAGACCGCUUUAAUCUGCGCCUGUUGACCUGACCUAGGUUGAUGAGAUGAAGGACACCACGUUCCAGUUAUCAGUGCUUUGUAAAUUUGCUUGUCUUGAGUCUGCUCCUAAAGAAACUACGAAACAGAGGUCUGAUUUCCCUCCUGGAAGGCAGUUAUUACUUGUAUGACAGUAACACCUCAACAAUGCACAUACACACAGUCCUUGGCCUGAGGCGCUUACUGUCAAAAAAGACAAUCCAGACUGUAAGAAACAGAGCAUUCCUAUGUAACAGAUGGGGAACUGAGUGAUUAAGGGCCAGAUUUUAUUAAAGGUAUUUAGGCAUUGAUUUCAAUGGG